CCCGGGUCUUGUACACACCGCCCGUCAAACCAUGGGAGCGGGUUCUGCCAGAAGUAGUUAGCCUAACCGCAAGGAGGGCGAUUACCACGGCAGGGUUCGUGACUGGGGUG
rnacentral:rRNA from 1 species